rnacentral:rRNA from 1 species
GAAUUCGCCCUUAGAGUUUGAUCCUGGCUCAGGAUGAACGCUGGCGGCGUGCCUAACACAUGCAAGUCGAACGGAGUUCUUAAGGAAUGCGACUUCGGUCAAAUGACUUUUGAACUUAGUGGCGGACGGGUGAGUAACGCGUGAGCAACCUGCCUUUCAGAGGGGGAUAACAUUUGGAAACAGAUGCUAAUACCGCAUAAGAUUACAGUACCGCAUGAUACAGUGAUCAAAGGAGCAAUCCGCUGAAAGAUGGGCUCGCGUCCGAUUAGAUAGUUGGUGAGGUAACGGCUCACCAAGUCGACGAUCGGUAGCCGGACUGAGAGGUUGAACGGCCACAUUGGGACUGAGACACGGCCCAGACUCCUACGGGAGGCAGCAGUGGGGAAUAUUGCACAAUGGGCGAAAGCCUGAUGCAGCAACGCCGCGUGAGGGAAGACGGUUUUCGGAUUGUAAACCUCUGUUUUCGGUGACGAAUAAAUGACGGUAACCGAGUAGGAAGCCACGGCUAACUACGUGCCAGCAGCCGCGGUAAUACGUAGGUGGCAAGCGUUAUCCGGAAUUACUGGGUGUAAAGGGAGCGCAGGCGGGAUAGCAAGUCAGUUGUGAAAACUAUGGGCUCAACCCAUAGAUUGCAGUUGAAACUGUUAUUCUUGAGUGGAGUAGAGGCAAGCGGAAUUCCGAGUGUAGCGGUGAAAUGCGUAGAUAUUCGGAGGAACACCAGUGGCGAAGGCGGCUUGCUGGGCUCUAACUGACGCUGAGGCUCGAAAGUGUGGGGAGCAAACAGGAUUAGAUACCCUGGUAGUCCACACUGUAAACGAUG